AGAAGUAAAUAGCAAACCAGUCCGAAAGGCUGGGACGCAAAACCACGGAUCUAAGGUGAUUGAACUACGACCGCCGGGCUGCCAAU
rnacentral:ncRNA from 1 species